UACGUAGGUGGCAAGCGUUGUCCGGAAUUAUUGGGCGUAAAGCGCGCGCAGGUGGUUCCUUAAGUCUGAUGUGAAAGCCCACGGCUCAACCGUGGAGGGUCAUUGGAAACUGGGGAACUUGAGUGCAGAAGAGGAAAGUGGAAUUCCAAGUGUAGCGGUGAAAUGCGUAGAGAUUUGGAGGAACACCAGUGGCGAAGGCGACUUUCUGGUCUGUAACUGACACUGAGGCGCGAAAGCGUGGGGAGCGAACAGG
rnacentral:rRNA from 1 species